UAAAACUGCGAACGGCUCAUUAUAUCAGCAAUAAUUUAUUUGAUGUUUUCUUACUACAUGGAUAACUGUAGUAAUUCUAGAGCUAAUACAUGCGUAAAGUCCCAACUCUCGCGGGGAGGGAUGUAUUUAUUAGAUAAAAAACCAAUGCGGGUUCUGCUCGCCUUUGUGUUGAAUCAUAGUAACUUUUCGAACGGCAUAGCCUUGUGCUGGCCGUAGAUCAUUCAAAUUUCUGCCCUAUCAGCUUUCGACGGUAGUGUGGUGGACUACCGUGGCGUUAACGGGUAACGGGGAAUUAGGGUUCGAUUCCGGAGAGGGAGCCUGAGAAACGGCUACCACAUCCAAGGAAGGCAGCAGGCGCGCAGAUUACCCAAUCCUGACACAGGGAGGUAGUGACAAAAAAUAACA
rnacentral:rRNA from 1 species